rnacentral:rRNA from 1 species
CUACGGGCUGCACCAGUGAGGAAUAUUGCACAAUGGGGGGAACCCUGAUGCAGCAACGCCGCGUGGAGGAUGACGCAUUUCGGUGUGUAAACUCCUUUUAUAUGUCAAGAAAAUGACGGUAGCAUAUGAAUAAGCACCGGCUAACUCCGUGCCAGCAGCCGCGGUAAUACGGAGGGUGCAAGCGUUACUCGGAAUCACUGGGCGUAAAGGACGCGUAGGCGGGUUGGAAAGUCAGGUGUGAAAUCCUACAGCUUAAUUGUAGAACUGCACUUGAAACUUCUAAUCUAGAGUAUGGGAGGGGGAGAUGGAAUUAGUGGUGUAGGGGUAAAAUCCGUAGAUAUCACUAGGAAUACCUAAAGCGAAGGCGAUCUCCUGGAACAUUACUGACGCUAAGGCGUGAAAGCGUGGGGAGCAAACAGGAUUAGAUACCCGGGUAGUC